rnacentral:tRNA from 1 species
GGCUGAGUGGCGGAACCGGCAGACGCAGCGGAUUCAAAAUCCGCCGGGCUCACACCCGUGAGGGUUCGACUCCCUCCUCAGCUA